rnacentral:rRNA from 1 species
UACGAAGGACCCAAGCGUUAUCCGGAUUUAUUGGGUUUAAAGGGUGCGUAGGCGGGUUAUUAAGUCAGUGGUGAAAGCCUGCAGCUUAACUGCAGAAUUGCCAUUGAUACUGAUGAUCUUGAGUAUGAUUGAGGUGGGCGGAAUGUGUCAUGUAGCGGUGAAAUGCUUAGAUAUGACACAGAACACCGAUUGCGAAGGCAGCUCACUAAGCCAUAACUGACGCUGAUGCACGAAAAGCGUGGGGGAGCA